ensembl:lincRNA Gm37256 predicted gene, 37256
CUUAACUGUACCUUGCAACUGGGCAGAGAGAGAGUCCUGGUGCUGCUGGUACUUGAGCGCCACUGCCUCAGCUUUGCGCAGCUGCGUCUGCAGUUCCAAGUAGAGCAUCGCGCCAUAGAGGAAGCCGAAGACCACCAAAUGGACCCAUGGAAAAGCAAUUUGCUCACAAAUGCAACCUGAGAAAAGCAGUUUUCAUGAAAAGAUUAUCAUUGCAAAGUUCCUGGAUGAACUGAACUGUGGUUUGACAUAUUCUAAAGAUGCAGACCAAAGAAGGAUAAGUUGGAAGCACAGUCAAGAUGAGUGCUGUGAUGCAUGUGUGAGUCAUUCUAUUGUCUCUGGGGUAGAAGCAGAGAGUGGAGAGUUCCAAGUAUAUAAACAUGAAAAGAAAUAGUUGACAUUGCACAGAUUAAGGAUGCACAAUGAGAAGGGUGGGCGGUAAAAGACUAGAAGGGUUUAGUUUGCUGUCGACAACAUCCUUUUUUACAGGAAAGAGAUGAAGGCUUGUUCUUCAGAAAACAUCUGUGCUGGCAUUAAGAGUUCUCUUUUGCAUUGUAAGUAACAAAAUC